rnacentral:rRNA from 1 species
UACGUAGGGGGCUAGCGUUGUCCGGAAUCAUUGGGCGUAAAGCGCGUGUAGGCGGUCCGGGAAGUCCGCUGUGAAAGUCGGGGGCUCAACCCUCGGAUGCCGGUGGAUACUGUCGGGCUUGAGUACGGAAGAGGCGAGUGGAAUUCCUGGUGUAGCGGUGAAAUGCGCAGAUAUCAGGAGGAACACCGAUGGCGAAGGCAGCCCCCUGGGUCGACACUGACGCUCAGGCACGAAAGCGUGGGGAGCAAACAGG